GGUUGUCUUCGGAAAUUAUACAGUGCC
rnacentral:sRNA from 1 species